ensembl:lncRNA
GGGGUCCUUCCUAACCACCCAAAUCAAAGGAGCUUUCUGCUCACUGUGUGAAGGCAAGCUGAGGAUGCCCUUUCUUUUCCAGAAACAGCCGCACUGGUUUGAUACUGCCGCAGGAUCAGCACCAAGAGUUUGUUCACUGUGUGUGGAGCACAGCAGGGAGUCUCCUGUGAGCUGCUGUAGUCUCCUACUUCAGAGCCAGCAGGGGCACCUGAGGGUGAAGCUUCGCUCUCUCUCUCACGUGAGCAAUGGUUCAGCAUUGGCGGCAAGUCUAUGGAACACGCCUACCGUGAAUAAUGAGAAUCUAUUGUACUGGGAGGGGAUGGGAAAUCAGCAAAGGAUACAGAAAGCCCAAGUAGAGUGGUUCCCAGUGAGAAAAGACUCCAAAAGCAGAAACUGGUCCACUUGUCAGAUACAGCAGCGAAAGCCAAGUGGAAAUGGGCAGCCUGUCCUGUCUCCACCGCCACCCUGGAGGAGGCCCCAGCACCUCUGGCCUGGGCAGGUUUCUCCAAGCUGUUUGCUACCUCUAUAAAUAAAGUCUCCAGGCAGAGUGCACGUUCCUUCCCUGGAACGUAAUGAGAUGGUAAGGGCUCCCCUGUGGUAAAAAGGCGGGGAAAGGAAAAUAUCAAGUGUCAGAUGAUAGAGAGGAGAUGAUUGAAAAAGCAGAGUUCUGAGGCUUUUACACUUUCUACCUACAGAAACUCAUGACUUUCUCAGAGCUGGACAGAAGGGUGACAUUUUUCGGCAAGCGUGCUCUGGGUUACAGCAUAGACCUUUUUAGCCAGGAUUGCUGGAAGGGCAAACAUCGUUUGAUGAACUCCAGGUUGAAUAUGGCUGAAAGGAAAGGAUAUCAGAGUUCUCUCUGGUUUUAAGGUGAUUUGAUGCAAGGUGAACCCAGCUUCUCUUGCCCCUGGUUAGACUCCACGGUCGUGGCACACUUCCACCACCUGGUGACCACACACAUAAAUUGCAAGGCCUGCUUCUAGAAGCCAGGGAAAAAUCCUUUGGGUGAAUGGAGAAAACCAAUGAAAUGUUCUUACAGC